CUCCUGUGGGGAUAGUCCACAGUAUCAAGUAUGUAAGUCGCUUUGGAUAAAAGCGUCUAACAAGUAACAUGUAAUUUAAGUCACGUUGGUC